AGUCAAUAGAUACCCUGGUAGUCCUGGCAGUAAACGGUGCACGUUUGGUGUGGGAGGAUUCGACCCCUUCCGCGCCGGAGCUAAACGCGUUAAACGUGCCGCCUGGGGAGUACGGUCGCAAGAUUAAAACUCAAAGAAAUUGACGGGGGCCCGCACAAGCGGUGGAGUAUGUGGCUUAAUUCGAUGCAACGCGAAGAACCUUACCUGGCCUUGACAUGCAUUGCUAAGCUGGUGAAAGCCAGUGAGUGUCGAAAGACACACCUUGCACAGGUGCUGCAUGGCUGUCGUCAGCUCGUGUCGUGAGAUGUUGGGUUUAAGUCCCGCAACGAGCGCAACCCCUGUGAACUGUUGCCACGUCCUUGAUUGGACAGCACUCUGUUCAGACUGCCCUGUGAAACGGGGAGGAAGGUGGGGACGACGUCAAGUCAGUAUGGCCCUUACGGCCAGGGCUGCACACGUACUACAAUGCCCAGUACAGAACGAUCCGAGACCGCGAGGUGGAGGAAAUCCAGUAAAA
rnacentral:rRNA from 1 species